AACGAACGCUGGCGGCAUGCCUAACACAUGCAAGUCGAACGAGACCUUCGGGUCUAGUGGCGCACGGGUGCGUAACGCGUGGGAACCUGCCCUUAGGUUCGGAAUAACUCCCCGAAAGGGGUGCUAAUACCGGAUAAUGUCUUCGGACCAAAGAUUUAUCGCCUUUGGAUGGGCCCGCGUUGGAUUAGCUAGUUGGUAGGGUAAAAGCCUACCAAGGCGACGAUCCAUAGCUGGUCUGAGAGGAUGAUCAGCCACACUGGGACUGAGACACGGCCCAGACUACUACGGGAAGCAGCAGUGGGGAAUAUUGGACAAUGGGCGAAAGCAUGAUCCAGCAAUGCCGCGUGAGUGAUGAAGGCCGUAGGGUUGUAAAGCUCUUUUACCCGGGAUGAUAAUGACAGUACCGGGAGAAUAAGCUCCGGCUAACUCCGUG
rnacentral:rRNA from 1 species